UCCGAGAUAGCUCAGUCGGUAGAGCAUUCGGCUGUUAACCGAAGUGUCCAGGGUUCGAGCCCCUGUCUUGGAGCCA
rnacentral:tRNA from 1 species